rnacentral:rRNA from 1 species
UACGUAGGGUGCGAGCGUUGUCCGGAAUUACUGGGCGUAAAGAGCUCGUAGGUGGUUUGUCGCGUUGUUCGUGAAAACCGGGGGCUUAACCCUCGGCGUGCGGGCGAUACGGGCAGACGUUGAGUACUGCAGGGGAGACUGGAAUUCCUGGUGUAGCGGUGGAAUGCGCAGAUAUCAGGAGGAACACCGGUGGCGAAGGCGGGUCUCUGGGCUGUAACUGACGCUGAGGAGCGAAAGCAUGGGGAGCGAACAGG